UACGAGAGGCGCAAACGUUAUUCGGAAUUACUGGGCUUAAAGAGUUCGUAGGCGGCGCAGAAAGUCGGGUGUGAAAGCCCUCGGCUCAACCGAGGAAUUGCGCUCUAAACUACUGUGCUUGAGGGACCUAGAGGUGAGCGGAACUGAUGGUGGAGCGGUGAAAUGCGUUGAUAUCAUCAGGAACACCGGUGGCGAAGGCGGCAUCCUGGACCGGCAUUGACGCUGAGGCGCGAAAGCCAGGGGAGCAAACGGG
rnacentral:rRNA from 1 species